AGCAUAGAUAAGUAGUGUGGCCACACCCCUUACAUCAUUCGGUAUCAAUGAAACUGCAAAUGUUGCUAGUGAUCCUGCCCCACCCACUAUCAACAAGUUAUACCCAAACCACAGGAACCGCUCAGUUAAAGAAGAGGCAGUAAGCGUUUCAAAGGAGGGACAAGAUGACUUAAAAGAAGUCUGAUGAUGUUUCACUAUUUCUAGCUCUUAUUAGAAGUGGAAUUUAGCUACGGAGGACAGUGAUUACGCUUUUAGAUUAGAAGUGGAAUUUAGCUACGGAGGACAGUGAUUACGUCUCUAUAAUAGAAGAGUUUGACAGUAUGUGUUUCUACACAUGGGGAUGAUCAAUAGCCACCAAGGAUCUACCAGUAUAUUAUUGAACAACCAGGAUGGAUAAAGAUUAAGAGAGAAAGAGACUGAAUAGCAACCAUGCAACAAUGAUAAUUACUUACAUGUUUCAUAUCACCACACACCUCUCUACCACACCUCUCAUAUUAAUCACAAUCAUUACACAUACACAUUAUAGACUACUUAGUUGUUAUGCAUCAUAAAUUAUCAAUGAUAGUCAUUACUAUACAUAA